UGUCGCCUUUGUGUUUCAGAUCAAUGCAGAAUUUCAAAGAACAACUACUGUACUUCAGGUACCGAAAUUUAUGUCUGUGUUUGACUGUCACACUCCCAAGCUACUGACGCCAUUUUGUGCCAACGAUGGAGCACUUGGAAGAAGACUGGAGAUCAUAAUGGAAAUGCUGCAGUGAUUGACUUCCUCCCCAGCACUCUUCGAUUGAGAGGACCAGAGAGAUUGUUCCUCGGUAUCUUACAAAAAAUACCUUGGAGAACAAGGGGGACAUCUUAUCAAAGAAUUCAACGACACUGAGAACUUGGAGGAACUUGAACAGCUCAUAAUGGCCAUUAAUGUGACCCCAAAGCGUGGAGCUUCUACAAGCAACUGCCCAAAGAACAUUGGGAUCCUCAUUAAGGGCGUGGAAGUCAUCACAGGACUUGGAGAUAUUGCAAGGGCUUGCAUUGUCCUC